GAUGAACGCUGGCGGCGUGCCUAAUACAUGCAAGUCGAGCGAACGGACGAGAAGCUUGCUUCUCUGAUGUUAGCGGCGGACGGGUGAGUAACACGUGGAUAACCUACCUAUAAGACUGGGAUAACUUCGGGAAACCGUAGCUAAUACCGGAUAAUAUUUUGAACCGCAUGGUUCAAAAGUGAAAGACGGUCUUGCUGUCACUUAUAGAUGGAUCCGCGCUGCAUUAGCUAGUUGGUAAGGUAACGGCUUACCAAGGCAACGAUGCAUAGCCGACCUGAGAGGGUGAUCGGCCACACUGGAACUGAGACACGGUCCAGACUCCUAAGGGAGGCAGCAGUAGGGAAUCUUCCGCAAUGGGCGAAAGCCUGACGGAGCAACGCCGUGUGAGUGAUGAAGGUCUUCGGAUCGUAAAACUCUGUUAUUAGGGAAGAACAUAUGUGUAAGUAACUGUGCACAUCUUGACGGUACCUAAUCAGAAAGCCACGGCUAACUACGUG
rnacentral:rRNA from 1 species